rnacentral:rRNA from 1 species
CCUACGGGAGGCAGCAGUAGGGAAUAUUGCUCAAUGGGGGAAACCCUGAAGCAGCAACGCCGCGUGGAGGAUGAAGGUUUUCGGAUUGUAAACUCCUUUUGUUAGAGAAGAUAAUGACGGUAUCUAACGAAUAAGCACCGGCUAACUCCGUGCCAGUAGCCGGGGUAAUACGGAGGGUGCAAGCGUUACUCGGAAGCACUGGGCGUAAAGAGGGCGUCGGCGGGUUAGCAAGUCAGAUGUGAAAUCCUAUGGCUUAACCAUAGAACUGCAUUUGAAACUGUUAUUCUAGAGUAUGGGAGAGGUAGGUGGAAUUCUUGGUGUAGGGGUAAAAUCCGUAGAGAUCAAGAGGAAUACUGAUUGCGAAGGCGACCUGCUAGAACGUAACUGACGCUGAUGCGCGAAAGCGUGGGGAGCAAACAGGAUUAGAUACCCCUGUAGUC